CGAAUACCAGAGGAGAGCUAGCCUGCUGCGGACCGGCCCAUCCCCCGCCAGAGGCAGGGAGGGAGGCGGGGGGGCACCCAGAGCCGGAAAGGGGCAAUCUUGGCCCCAGAGAUGGCAUCCUCUACCAAACUGUGAGAAAGCUCCCAGUUGCUAACCAAAACCUGGGAUUCUGGACGGUUGACAUGUGCCGGCAGGGUCGCAGCCAGAGAUAAGCUCCCCAGAAGAGACACACAGCACACCUGAGAAGGCGCGCCCACUGCGCACCCAGAAAACCAAGCAGCUGGGAUGGGGUAGGCGAUAAAAUGCAUCCCCCACCUGAAGAGACUGCGCUUGCCAAGCACAUGGUUGCCUGAGCUGCUCGGACCUGGGAACGGCACAAAACACAGGCCCAGCAGAGUCUGCGCCUUUGUGAAGUACCCAAGAACCUGAACCUGAGCGGCUUAGACCUGGGAAGUGCACGCAACCCAAGGUCCACCUCAGAAAGUUCCCUUGCAGAGCAACCUGGAGACUGAGCAGUGUAGACUGGGAAAGCAUACACGCCAUGAGCGGGGCAAACCCAGUGUGGCCCAGACACUGCGAGCACUCCCCAUACACGCCAGUGAUAUUUGUUUGCAGUGUUCCUCCCUCCCCACAGCACACCUGAACAAAUGAGCCUAAAUAAGUGACCACCUUUGCCCCUUUGUGUCAGGGCAGAAAUUAGACAUUGAAGAGACCUGAAAACAGAAGAAGCCAAAAUAAACAGAGAGAACUGCUUUGGAAGUGACAGGUGCAACAGAUUAAAACCCUGUAGUUACAACCAAAUACAUUGAAAGGGGCCUAUAAAUCUUGAGAAGUUAAAGAUGGAACAAUGAACUAUCUGAAACUGAACUGACCCCAUACUGCCCACAACAGCUCCAGAGAAAUUCUUAGAUAUACUUUUACUAUUAACAUUUUUUUAUUUAAAUUUUUUUCUUAUUUUUAAGUCCUCAAUUAAUCCUUUAAUUUUCAUUUUUACAACCUACAAACUCCAGUACUUUGGCCACCUCAUGUGAAGAGUUAACUCAUUGGAAAAGACUCUGAUCCUGGGAGGGAUUGGGGGCAGGAGGAGAAGGGGACAACAGAGGAUGAGAUGGCUGGAUGGCAUCACUGACUCGAUGGACGUGAGUCUGGGUGAACUCCAGGAGUUGGUGAUGGACAGGGAGGCCUGGCAUGCUGUGAUUCACGGGGUCUCAAAGAGUCGGACACAACUGAGUGACUGAACUGAACUGAACUGAACUACUACCUUGCAAAAAAAAAAAAAAACUAUUUUUAAAGCAAAUUUCAUAUAUAUUUUUUAUAAUUUUGUGAUUUUAUUUUGUUUUUUUAAUAGUGUAUUUUUGAGAGUCUAACCUCUACUCUAGAUUUUUAACCUUUGCUUUUUGGUAUUUGUUAUCAAUUUUGUACCUUUAAGAAUCCAAUCUUCAGUACCCAUUUUUACUUAGGAGUGUGAUUACUGGCUUGAUUACUCUCUCCCCCUUCUGAUUUUCCUUUUUCUCCCCCAGGUCACCUCUAUCUCCUCCCUCCCCCUUCUCUUCUCUAC
ensembl:lncRNA